rnacentral:rRNA from 1 species
CGCCCAAUAGCUAGCCCCCCUACCCAAAAACAACUAAUCCCCAUUUAUAAACCCCAAUCACCCCAACAUCCCCCAAAACAAACCAUUUUUCCUCCUUAGUACAGGCGAUGAAAAAGGAACUGUGGAGCAAUAGAAAAAGUACCGCAAGGGAAAGCUGAAAGAGAAAUGAAAUAACCCAUUAAAGCACAUUAAAGCAGAGAUUAAACCUCGUACCUUUUGCAUCAUGACUUAGCCRGUAACCCCAAGCAAAGAGACUUUAGUUUGACCCCCCGAAACUGAGCGAGCUACUCCAAGACAGCCUAUUAAUAGGGCAAACCCGUCUCUGUGGCAAAAGAGUGGGAAGAGCUUUGAGUAGAGGUGACAGACCUACCGAGCUCAGUUAUAGCUGGUUGCCUGAGAACUGGAUAGAAGUUCAGCCUCCCGGCUUCUUUCUUCACCCCUCGUCUUCACCCACCCCUGACACAAAGAAACCGAGAGAGUUAGUCAAAGGGGGUACAGCCCCUUUGACACAAGACACAACUUUUAUAGAAGGAUAAAGAUCAUACUAAUUUUAAGGGUAAAUAUGUUUCAGUGGGCCUAAAAGCAGCCACCUUUACAGAAAGCGUUAAAGCUCAAACAUACUUCUCCUCCCUCCUUAUUCUGAUAGCCUAAUCUUAAACCCCUUAACCUACCAGGCCGUCCCAUGCCCACAUGGGAACGAUCAUGCUAACAUGAGUAAUAAGAGAACAUUGUAUCUCUCCCCGCACACGUGUAAAUCGGAACGGACUUUCCACCGAACCUUAAACGGCCCCAAACGAAGAGGGAACGGAACAAUACACCAAAUAACCAGAAAAUCCCCCCGCAACAUAACCGUUAACCCCACACCGGCGUGCAUCCAAGGAAAGACUAAAAGAAAGAGAAGGAACUCGGCAAACACAUAAAGCCUCGCCUGUUUACCAAAAACAUCGCCUCUUGCAAAAUCGAUGAAUAAGAGGUCCCGCCUGCCCUGUGACUAUAAGUUUAACGGCCGCGGUAUUUUGACCGUGCGAAGGUAGCGCAAUCACUUGUCUUUUAAAUGGAGACCUGUAUGAAUGGCAUAACGAGGGCUUAGCUGUCUCCUCUUUCAAGUCAAUGAAAUUGAUCUCCCCGUGCAGAAGCGGGGAUACCCCCAUAAGACGAGAAGACCCUAUGGAGCUUUAGACACCAAGGCAGAACAUGUUAAGUACCCCUAAACAAGGGCCGAACCRAAUGAACCCUGCCCCAAUGUCUUUGGUUGGGGCGACCGCGGGGAAACACAAAACCCCCACGUGGAAUGAGAGCACCCCUCUCACAAUCAAGAGCUCCUGCUCUAACAAACAGAACAUCUGACCAGCUAGAUCCGGCAAAGCCGAUCAACGGACCGAGUUACCCUAGGGAUAACAGCGCAAUCCUCUUUUAGAGACCAUAUCGACAAGAGGGUUUACGACCUCGAUGUUGGAUCAGGACAUCCUAAUGGUGCAGCCGCUAUUAAGGGUUCGUUUGUUCAACGAUUAAAGUCCUACGUGAUCUGAGUUCAGACCGGAGUAAUCCAGGUCUUUUUCCUACUAUGAAGUGAUCUUUUCUAGUACGAAAGGACCGAAAAGAAAAGGCCCCUACCACAUGUACGCCUUACCCCCACCUAAUGAAAACAAAUAAAGUAGGCAAAAGGGCAUAACCCAUCAUGCCUUAGAGAACGGCAU